rnacentral:rRNA from 1 species
GACGAACGCUGGCGGCGUGCUUAACACAUGCAAGUCGAACGGAAAGGCCUGCUUUCCCUUGUGGAUUGCGGGUGCUCGAGUGGCGAACGGGUGAGCAACACGUGAGUGAUCUGCCCCCAACUUGGGUAUAAGCCCGGGAAACUGGGUCUAAUUCCCGAUAGGACUGCAGGGUGGUGCCUGUGGUGGAAAACGAUUUUCUAGUGGUUGGGGAUGAGCUCGCGGCCUAUCAGCUUGUUGGUGGGGUAAUGGCCUACCAAGGCGGCGACGGGUAGCCGGCCUGAGAGGGUGGACGGCCACAUUGGGACUGAGAUACGGCCCAGACUCCUACGGGAGGCAGCAGUGGGGAAUAUUGCACAAUGGGCGGAAGCCUGAUGCAGCGACGCCGCGUGGGGGAUGACGGCCUUCGGGUUGUAAACUCCUUUCGACCGCGAGGAAGCCACCUGGUUGGAAGGGUGGUGACGGUAGUGGUAGAAGAAGCACCGGCUAACUACGUG